rnacentral:lncRNA from 12 species
AUGUUUCCUGGUGAAGAUAAGCAUUCGAGGUUUCAGGGAAUUUAUCCUAACUGGUUCAUGGAGGCUCUGGCUUCACUGAUGGCAGCUAGGGAUGAGUUAUCUAAGCAGAGAAUUGCCAAAAUUGGCCACAGCUCAAGUUCACCACUGCUGCCACACCAGGGGAAGCUGCUUUUCCAUCUCUGUGUUCUGGAGGUGAGAGUUUACUUUCUUGGCAGGUAAGUUAGAGGAGAACGCAAGGAUGCGGGAGAAGUUUUGUUUAUUUACAGUCACCUCUGCCAAAGUCUGUGGGACUUGUUACAGGCUUAGAGGACCUAGGAAGUGUUGAGGCUAAAUAUUGUUCCUUUUAACCACAGCCUUUGACCAUCCCUUGAGAUUUCACCCUUUGUCUGCUAGAAAGUAUGCCCUAUAAGUGCAGGCAUCUUUGGUUUGCAUCCCAAGAGCCUAGGGCAGUUCUGGGGCUUAGAGCAGAAGCUCAAUCAUUUUGUUGAUACAGUCAAUGCACAGACGUUUUCCAACCACUCUCCCAUAUUUGCCCUCAAGAUGGAAUUAGCUAGAUCAUGUUGUCUCAUCUUGUUACUUCUUUCUUCAUUUGCAUGUGCCUGUUUUUUGCUAUAAUAUUAUUAGCAUGGAAGGUGGUACAUAGGCAGGGCAACCAGGAAUGGAGUUCUGUGACAUCCAGACAUCCAAGCAAGGCCUUGUUUACUGCCUGCUUCCUUUGGUCAAACUUGACAUGAGUCCUGGGCCCAGAUUAGUCACAUGGCUGCAGGAACAUAACGCUCUGUGGUGUUUGAUUAGCAUGCUCCUGAUGUCCAGCUGACCUGUGCAUGUGCCUUUGUUUAAUGACUUGACAUACUCU